rnacentral:rRNA from 1 species
UAGAGUUUGAUCAUGGCUCAGGACGAACGCUGGCGGCGUGCCUAACACAUGCAAGUCGAACGAAGUAUAUUUUUCGGAAUAUGCUUAGUGGCGGACGGGUGAGUAACGCGUGAACAAUCUGCCCUAUACAGAGGAAUAGCCUCGGGAAACCGGGAUUAAAACCGCAUGACACUUUAAUACCGCAUGGUAUAGAAGUCAAAUUGAUUAAGAGGUAUAGGAUGAGUUCGCGUCUGAUUAGCUAGUUGGGAAGGUAACGGCUUACCAAGGCGACGAUCAGUAGCCGGCCUGAGAGGGUGAACGGCCACACUGGAACUGAGACACGGUCCAGACUCCUACGGGAGGCAGCAGUGGGGAAUAUUGCACAAUGGAGGAAACUCUGAUGCAGCGACGCCGCGUGAGUGAAGAAGGUCUUCGGAUCGUAAAACUCUGUCCUUGGUGAAGAAAAAAUGACGGUAGCCAAGGAGGAAGCCCCGGCUAACUACGUGCCAGCAGCCGCGGUAAUACGUAGGGGGCGAGCGUUGUCCGGAUUUACUGGGCGUAAAGGGUGAGUAGGCGGUUAUAUAUGUCAGAUGUAAAAGGCUAUGGCUUAACCAUAGUUAGCAUUUGAAACUGUAUGACUUGAGUGCAGGAGAGGUAAGUGGAAUUCCUAGUGUAGCGGUGAAAUGCGUAGAUAUUAGGAGGAACACCAGUGGCGAAGGCGACUUACUGGACUGUAACUGACGCUGAGUCACGAAAGCGUGGGUAGCAAACAGGAUUAGAUACCCUGGUAGUCCACGCUGUAAACGAUGAGUGCUAGGUGUUGGGUAGCGAUACUCAGUGCCGAAGUAAACACAAUAAGCACUCCGCCUGGGGAGUACGGUCGCAAGACUGAAACUCAAAGGAAUUGACGGGGACCCGCACAAGCAGCGGAGCAUGUGGUUUAAUUCGAAGCAACGCGAAGAA